AUUGAACGCUGGCGGCAGGCCUAACACAUGCAAGUCGAGCGGUAACAGAUCUAGCUUGCUAGAUGCUGACGAGCGGCGGACGGGUGAGUAAUGCAUAGGAAUCUGCCCGAUAGUGGGGGAUAACCUGGGGAAACCCAGGCUAAUACCGCAUACGUCCUACGGGAGAAAGGGGGCUCCGGCUCCCGCUAUUGGAUGAGCCUAUGUCGGAUUAGCUAGUUGGUGAGGUAAAGGCUCACCAAGGCUGCGAUCCGUAGCUGGUCUGAGAGGAUGAUCAGCCACAUCGGGACUGAGACACGGCCCGAACUCCUACGGGAGGCAGCAGUGGGGAAUAUUGGACAAUGGGGGCAACCCUGAUCCAGCCAUGCCGCGUGUGUGAAGAAGGCCCUCGGGUUGUAAAGCACUUUCAGCGAGGAAGAACGCCUAGCGGUUAAUACCCGCUAGGAAAGACAUCACUCGCAGAAGAAGCACCGGCUAACCCCGUGCCAGCAGCCGCGGUAAUACGGAGGGUGCAAGCGUUAAUCGGAAUUACUGGGCGUAAAGCGCGCGUAGGUGGCUUGAUAAGCCGGUUGUGAAAGCCCCGGGCUCAACCUGGGAACGGCAUCCGGAACUGUCAGGCUAGAGUGCAGGAGAGGAAGGUAGAAUUCCCGGUGUAGCGGUGAAAUGCGUAGAGAUCGGGAGGAAUACCAGUGGCGAAGGCGGCCUUCUGGACUGACACUGACACUGAGGUGCGAAAGCGUGGGUAGCAAACAGGAUUAGAUACCCUGGUAGUCCACGCCGUAAACGAUGUCGACCAGCCGUUGGGUGCCUAGCGCACUUUGUGGCGAAGUUAACGCGAUAAGUCGACCGCCUGGGGAGUACGGCCGCAAGGUUAAAACUCAAAUGAAUUGACGGGGGCCCGCACAAGCGGUGGAGCAUGUGGUUUAAUUCGAUGCAACGCGAAGAACCUUACCUACCCUUGACAUCUACAGAAGCCGGAAGAGA
rnacentral:rRNA from 1 species